GCGCGCCCGUUUCCUCGCCCGACUCUCCUUGCCCUAACCGGCGCCGGCCCGACGGUUCCUUCUUCCCCCUUCUCUUUAUCUCAUCGCCAAGGAUCAUGCCCUAAACCUCCCUCGCGCCGACUUCCUCUCCUGAUUCCUUUCUCUCCUUCUCCAAAGCAGCGACGCCGACUCCACAGCUCUAGCGCCGGCCACCGCGUGCCCUAGCCAGCCCCGACGCCACUGCCGGCACCGAUUCCCUAGCACCGACCGCCGUCGCAUGUGCCUUAGCAUCGUCGGGUGUCGCUCCUCAGCCCUCGUGUCGGCCUCUUCUCUUCCUUCCCGAGCACUGCCCAAUCGCCGCUGUGCCCACAGGUCUCACUGAGUAGAGCCCUAGCCGACAAUCCACCAUCGCCGAUCUACCCUUGCUGAGCUUAGUGAUCUACCCGUAAUCACCACCGGCUGCCAAUUGAUUCUCUUCCAUCUACUUCCCAUCCCUUAGUCCCUGGUGAUGAGAUUUUCUUCCUCGCGCAUCACAGCAACAUCCGAAUUUGCAUUAGAGAGGAAGCUCGAGUUGGAAUUCGGCUCUGGCGAGGGAUUAGCUGUUGAUGGCAAAUUAGUCGGCUAGCAACACCUCUCCAUUGAUCGCGGCGGUGCUCUACUACCUGCUGCCACUAAAGAGGGCAACUGUGUUGGAUGACGAUCGUCCAAUUUCAUCUCGGAUUGAUAAGAGAUGUUUUACUUCAUCACUGCUGUACUGGAACUAUCCACUGAGAUGUGCAAAUCUGAUUUGGUUGAGGCUGUCCGGAGCAGUUCCAGUCGCUAGUCCCCAUUGCACGUAGUACUAGUCCUCUG